rnacentral:rRNA from 1 species
UACGUAGGGGGCAAGCGUUGUCCGGAGUUACUAGGCGUAAAGCGCACGCAGGCGGUCUCUUAAGUUUGGAGUGACAGUUGGUGGCUUAACUGCCAAAGUGCUUCGAAAACUGAGAGACUUGAGGGCUUCAGAGGGACACGGAAUUCCGGGUGGAGUGGUGAAAUGCGUAGAGAUCCGGAGGAACACCAAAGGCGAAGGCAGUGUCCUGGGGAGUACCUGACGCUCAGGUGCGAAAGCCAGGGGAGCGAACGGG